UCUCUCUCUCCAAAAACUCUUCUUCUGAAACCGAGAAGAACUCUUGAAUCUGCUACUAUUUCAGCUCAAAAAAAAAAAAACAAAUGAAAACUUCAUACUUCUAUUCCCUGAUGUUGUAAACAAAACUCAUAUACCAGAAAUCUCGUUUUUCUCUCGCCCUCUCUCUCUCCAAAAACUCUUCUUUUGAAACCGAGAAGAACAUUUGAAUCUGCUACUAUUUCAGCUCAAAAACAACAAAUCAAAACUUCAUAUUUCUAUACCCUGAUGUUGUAAACAAAACCCAUAGAUCAGAAAUCUUGAUCUAUAAACUCUAACUUUGAGAUUUUCGUAACCCUAGAAAAUUUUUUUCCUUAUGUCGGGAACCAUUACACUAAAAAUCUGAUAGUUGAUUGUGCUUCCAACGAUUUGUUUAUCAUCAGGUGGAGAUCAUCAACAGAGUACUCUUGUAUUCCCGGAAGGAAACCCAUUGCCUAGUCUUAAGUCCUUGAUGCUAUUUACGCCAGGAACAUUCACCAUCGGUGUUCAGUAUGCUGAUGCAGCUGAUCAGUUGCAAGUACCAUCGAGGAUUAACCUGUACACGUUUUGAUAGAUUGGUCCUUUUCAAUCCAAUCAUGGCGAGCGUUCAGAGAUGAAUGUUAAAUCCCGAUUGAAUCUCCAUGGCACUGUCUCUAGGUUUACCUCUUGGUAUCUAGUGUGGUAUAGACUGAAGUUUGUUAUAACUCGAUUUAUUUCAUGGAAUUGGAAUGGGUUGUAUGAAGCUUAAAUCAUCUUAAGUUUUCAUCUGCUUCUUCAUGUUAAUGGAACAUUAAUUGACCUUCUUUCAACCAUUUUAUUUAUCUCCUUGGCAUUUUUGAUUUUUCAGUCUUAAUGAGUUUGAGUGUAGGAUCUGAUUAAUACUUCUCUCUAUUGCAUAAAUGACUGCGCACCGAGCCUUCCAGUCUUGUAAGCAGUACAAGAGAACAACUGAAUUCCGUAGGCUUCGCGAAAUAACCAGAAACCAUCUUGCAAAUCUUAACAAAUACAAGGACCAGAGAGACAGACCUGACUUAUUGUUACCAGAAAGCUUACAACUGUACCAAGAUACGAGGUUUGAGCAGCUUAAGGUUGCAACUGAGCUUGAUCUUUGGUAGGAAGCUUUUCGUUCUGUGGAAGACAUUCAUGGUCUGAUGUGUAUGGUAGAAAACUCCCAAGCCAUCCUUGAUGGUCGUUUAUUAUAUGCCAAGCUGGCGGAGAUAUUCCGGGUUUCGACUGUCAACUUUAUAAUGCCUAUCCAUGGUCCAAACUGUUCUCACUUCAGAAAAGUUACAAUAGGCACUUAACCCAGAAGGAUUUGCAGCUAAUCGCAUCCUGUGUUGUAUUAGAUGCUCUUUCCCUAUGAUCUUGGUUAUGGUGCACAUCACAUUUGGAGCUUGACAAUGAGAAGGAGCGCAAUUUGAGAACGGAUAACCUUAUAGGUUUUAGUCUUGACCCUAAAAAUGAUAGGAGAGAAGUGCUUUCAAGGUCAGCGCUUCUCUCGGAACUGCCUCAGGUUUCAGAUAAACAGUGAGAGAUGAUGUUUUGAUUUUCUUGGCAACGUUAAUAAUUUCUCUUUACCUGGGAACACCGAGGGUCAUAUUCUUUGCACUCAACUCCAGCAUAGUGAAAGGUGUUAAGAGUCAUCUGAGUAGCAGGUUCACCAACAGACUGUGCUGCAAUACAACCAAUCAUUUCACCAGGAGCAACUAAUGACUGUAAGAAACGAGACUCAACUUCACCGAUAACCCAAUCAAAUGCUUCACGUGUCAGGUGGUUUUCUUCUGAGCCUCCAUGCUCAUUCUUCUGAGCCUCCAUACUCGCAAAAGUGCUACGCAACAAAAGGUUGAAGAAAAGGGUAGCAUUCUUCUGAGCCUCCAUACUCAUUGAAUCGUUACCAGGAAAAACUUUCAGCCUUUCCUGAAGUUUAUCAAUAGCUUCCACAAUCUCCAUGGAGUGCAUAUCAGAAGACCUUCUCGGGUUUCUUGCUUUUUCCAUGCCAAGUACAAGUCAAGCCAGUCAAAAACCUAUAAAAAGAAUGUGUUUUUCAGUUAUUUGCACUUGUUGCGCUACGUUAUUGGCAGUUUGAUAUGCUGGAAAGACAACUGGAUAUUGUGCCGUUGGGUGUGUGGCAAUAGCUGAUUCUGGAACUUCCUUCUUGGCGGGUUUAAUGGUGCGUAUCAGCCUGUUAAAGAUAUCUAUCAUGUAGAUGGUAACUGGUGCUGGUGUCGCUCGUUAGGAAGGUUAUUUUUCAUUUACUGAUUGAGUAAACUUUUUUGAUUUUUGUUAUUAUAAUUUCAAUUAUAUGAUGGGUUUUUUGUACAACAGAUCUUUGUUACAUGGUUUUGAGUCACUUUUGUCUGUUUAUGUAAUUUUCAGUUGUUUGUAGAAAUGCCUAUGAGAAAUAUAACUCACCGUUGAUGUCAUCUGAUAGUCCAAGUGCAGGUGAUGGUAAAAAUGGUUGUGGGAUUUGGCCGAGGGUAAGAAAUUGUACUCACUUAGCCCCAAUGGUAUUAUUCGUUAACUUCGUGGCGAAAGAUAGCUGUGAGAUUGGAUAGAUGUUGGUAUAUUAGCUUUGUAACUAACGGAAGUAGCUCAGGAUUACGUGUUUGUUUGAAUUCAACAAGUAGUGGAUAUAACUUAUCAGGAUGUCUUGUAUGAUUCCAUCCAGCAAGUUUUUGGCACUGUACUUGCCAUGGAAAUCUGCAUAACAUGAUAAUCAAGAUUAAAAAAGAUGCAACUCUACAGGCGUAGACUUUAUCCCUGCCCAUAAGAAUGAUUGGCAUUAGCUCAAGAACAAAACAGAAAACUCAUAAGUGGCAAAAACUGGUAAAAUCGCUUAUGUAUAUGAUUAAGUUUGGUAUGCUCUCUCUUGUUUUGACAGUUGGCUAUAACAAGACCUAGAGGUGAUCGUGGUAGAGGCGGGUCUAGGGGAAGUCUUGGCAGAGCUACACCUAGUACCAGUUCAGGUAAACUAUUAGUGGUGAAGGGGAGCUUCACCAAAGACGAGUGUUGGAACUGGAACAACUACGGGUGGUGGAACAACAUGUAACAACAGAAGGUUAGGCUAAUCAUAGUACCAGUUCAGGUAAACUAUUAGUGGUUAAGGGGAGCUUCACCAAAUACAAGUGCUGGAACUGGAACAACUAGGGGGGGUGGAACAACAUGUAACAACAGAAGGUUAGGCUAAUCAUAGUUUCAAAUUCAGAAACUUGUGUUUAUAAUAACAUUUGGGAUUUUGCAUAAGUUGUUUAAUAUUUGUAUGGGUUUAUGGUUUAUAUAUCUAC